UAUGUGAUCGUCUCUCGCAUAUCAAUAAGCGGAGGAAAAGAAACUAACAAGGAUUCCCCUAGUAACGGCGAGUGAAGCGGGAAGAGCUCAAAUUUGAAAUCUUAAAGGGUUUCCCUUUACGAAUUGUAGUUUAAAGAAGUGUUUUCUGUUGAGGUUUUGGUAAAAGUUCUUUGGAAUAGGACAUCAUAGAGGGUGAGAAUCCCGUAUUUGACCUUUACUUUCAACUUUGUGAUACACUUUCAAAGAGUCGGAUUGUUUGGGAAUGCAGUCCAAAAUGGGUGGUAAAUUUCAUCUAAAGCUAAAUAUUGGCGAGAGACCGAUAGCGAACAAGUACCAUGAGGGAAAGAUGAAAGGAACUUUGAAAAGAGAGUUAAACAGUACGUGAAAUUGUCAAAAGGGAAGCGUUUGACACCAGUGUUGUUUUUCUGAAAAUCAAUUAAAGAACUGUUUAUGCUAAGUUGUUUAGACUUUAUCAGCUAUCUGCUUAGUUUUGAGCUUUUCUUUAAUGCACUUUUCAGUUAACAAGUCAACAUCAAUUUCUUUUGCUGUAAAAAAGCUUGAGGAAGGUGGCUUGAGAUUCGUCUUAAGUGUUUAUAGCCUCUUGCCUAUGCAGUCGGAGAGAUUGAGGUCUGCAGCGUAGAUCCUUCGGGGCUAAAUGCAUUUGUGCUAAGUUAUAGCAUUUUAUAGACAACUUGUUGACUAUGAUUUGUCUUGUAGCUUACUCGCUUAUGUUAUUUUACCUACGCUUAGGAUGUUGACGAGACUGUCGAUCUC
rnacentral:rRNA from 1 species